rnacentral:rRNA from 1 species
AAAGACUCUCGGCAACGGAUAUCUCGGCUCUUGCAUCGAUGAAGAACGUAGCGAAAUGCGAUACUUGGUGUGAAUUGCAGAAUCCCGUGAACCAUCGAGUCUUUGAACGCAAGUUGCGCCCGAAGCCAUUAGGCUGAGGGCACGCCUGCCUGGGUGUCGCCCAU